CGGCGCCGGCUCGGGAGCGCGGACGGACGGACGGCGGGCGGGCGGCCGAGGCCGGGGUGAUCGCUCUCUGCUCUGCCGAGCCACCUGAUGAUGCUCUGACCUCCAUUCUCCGUCCGGCUUCCCGAGGCACCUGAUGGUCACCAUACCUGGUGCUUUAAAGCGAGUGCAUGCGCGCAGUGACCAGGCGGUGCCGGGCAGGUUGUAAGGGCUCGCAGAGUUGUUUGUGUGAGUGCAAGGAUGUUCAACAUACUCUUUGUUUCCCAGCUGCCAAAGGGGUUCAGAAACCUUUUUGACAUAAAAUCCUUUAGGGAAAUGUAAGUGAUGAAAAUUUCAUUCACACGAUAAUUUCCUCCAGUUUCUAAUUGUCUUUCAUUUGGAAGGCAAACUGUCAAAACCACUCAGGAAUAAAUAAAAUACUGUUUUAUCCUGUUGACGUUCAUAUCCUGUUUGCCACAUGGGUCACACCACCUAAAUAGGAGGGCAGGCCCAUGCCAGUUGAAAACCCACAUCUUAUUGAGCAAGAUCCUAUUAUUUAAGACGUUCUUCAACAAGAACAACGGAGAAAGAGGUUGUGGUCUUUUAUACUGUCUGCUGAUGAGCAGAGAUUGAGAGAGGAAGUUUGGGCUCUAAAUAGCAAAUCCUCUCAUGGCCGAGAGACCCUACAGACUCAGGCAGCAGGAAAUACCAUUGUGUGUGGCAUCUUCAGCAUCGAGGUUUGUGGCUAUAUGCCAGAAGGUUAAAAAAAAAAACCCUGAAACUUCUUCCUGAGGUAUCAAUAUUUCUCAAAGUUCAUUUAUUGGGGGGGGGGGGGGGAAUUCUCAUGAAUUUGUAAUGAUAACAGGAGACUUCAAGGAAAAGUAGGCUGACGGUGGCUACGUUCACAUUCCUUGACUGUCAGAAGUGUUUCCUUGGGAAACUUCAGAAGUCCUGUGUAAAGACAUUGCCGUGCAUUAGCUUGUUAGUACUGCCUGGGGUCAUUGCUGCCUCUAACUUAGGGGCCAGACACAGCCUGGUUGUGGUGUGGCUAUGCUACACCCAGCCGUGAUGCCACCCUGGCACGAACUUAACCUAAUCUUUUCUACUUCUUUGAGAGAAUAAAUUUUAAAACAUGCCGUCACUGUGGAUCAAAGCUGAAAACUGCUCUCGAACGCUUAGGUUCAAUCAAGACAGCAUUUGCUAAUAAAGUGACUUCUUUUCUUUCUUGAGCGUGAUGCAGACAAAGUGGGAG
rnacentral:lncRNA from 1 species